rnacentral:rRNA from 1 species
CUACGUGCCAGCAGCCGCGGUAAUACGGAGGGUGCGAGCGUUAAUCGGAAUAACUGGGCGUAAAGGGCACRCAGGCGGUUAUUUAAGUGAGGUGUGAAAGCCCCGGGCUUAACCUGGGAAUUGCAUUUCAGACUGGGUAACUAGAGUACUUUAGGGAGGGGUAGAAUUCCACGUGUAGCGGUGAAAUGCGUAGAGAUGUGGAGGAAUACCGAAGGCGAAGGCAGCCCCUUGGGAAUGUACUGACGCUCAUGUGCGAAAGCGUGGGGAGCAAACAGGAUUAGAUACCCUGGUAGUCCACGCUGUAAACGCUGUCGAUUUGGGGAUUGGGCUUAGAGCUUGGUGCCCGUAGCUAACGUGAUAAAUCGACCGCCUGGGGAGUACGGCCGCAAGGUUAAAACUCAAAUGAAUUGACGGGGGCCCGCACAAGCGGUGGAGCAUGUGGUUUAAUUCGAUGCAACGCGAAGAACCUUACCUACUCUUGACAUCCAUGGAAUCCUGUAGAGAUACGGGAGUGC